UACGUAGGGUGCGAGCGUUAAUCGGAAUUACUGGGCGUAAAGCGUGCGCAGGCGGUUCGCUGUGUCCUAUGUGAAAGCCCCGGGCUUAACCUGGGAAUGGCAUUGGAAACUGGCGGGCUUGAGUGUGGCAGAGGGGGGUGGAAUUCCGCGUGUAGCAGUGAAAUGCGUAGAGAUGCGGAGGAACACCGAUGGCGAAGGCAGCCCCCUGGGCUAACACUGACGCUCAGGCACGAAAGCGUGGGGAGCAAACAGG
rnacentral:rRNA from 1 species